rnacentral:rRNA from 1 species
AUUGAACGCUGGCGGCAUGCCUUACACAUGCAAGUCGAACGGCAGCGCGGACUUCGGUCUGGCGGCGAGUGGCGAACGGGUGAGUAAUACAUCGGAACGUACCCUGUUGUGGGGGAUAACUAGUCGAAAGAUUAGCUAAUACCGCAUACGACCUGAGGGUGAAAGUGGGGGACCGCAAGGCCUCACGCAGCAGGAGCGGCCGAUGUCUGAUCAGCUAGUUGGUGGGGUAAAGGCCCACCAAGGCGACGAUCAGUAGCUGGUCUGAGAGGACGACCAGCCACACUGGGACUGGGACACGGCCCAGACUCCUACGGGAGGCAGCAGUGGGGAAUUUUGGACAAUGGGGGCAGCCCUGAUCCAGCAAUGCCGCGUGUGUGAAGAAGGCCUUCGGGUUGUAAAGCACUUUUGUCCGGAAAGAAAUCGCGCUGGUUAAUACCUGGCGUGGAUGACGGUACCGGAAGAAUAAGCACCGGCUAACUACGUGCCAGCAGCCGCAGUAA